GAAGGCCCUUCGGGGUACUCGAGCGGCGAACGGGUGAGUAACACGUGAGCAACCUGCCCCAGGCUUUGGGAUAACCCCGGGAAACCGGGGCUAAUACCGAAUAGGACCUGGCCUCGCAUGAGGCUGGGUGGAAAGUUUUUCGGCUUGGGAUGGGCUCGCGGCCUAUCAGCUUGUUGGUGGGGUGAUGGCCUACCAAGGCGACGACGGGGUAGCCGGCCUGAGAGGGCGACCGGCCACACUGGGACUGAGACACGGCCCAGACUCCUACGGGAGGCAGCAGUGGGGAAUAUUGCACAAUGGGCGGAAGCCUGAUGCAGCGACGCCGCGUGAGGGAUGACGGCCUUCGGGUUGUAAACCUCUUUCAGCAGGGACGAAGCGUAAGUGACGGUACCUGCAGAAGAAGCGCCGGCCAACUACGUGCCAGCAGCCGCGGUAAGACGUAGGGCGCGAGCGUUGUCCGGAUUUAUUGGGCGUAAAGAGCUCGUAGGCGGCUUGUCGCGUCGACUGUGAAAACCCGCAGCUCAACUGCGGGCCUGCAGUCGAUACGGGCAGGCUAGAGUUCGGUAGGGGAGACUGGAAUUCCUGGUGUAGCGGUGAAAUGCGCAGAUAUCAGAGGAACACCGGUGGCGAAGCGGGUCUCUGGGCCGAUACUGACGCUGAGGAGCGAAAGCGUGGGGAGCGAACAGGAUUAGAUACCCUGGUA
rnacentral:rRNA from 1 species